rnacentral:tRNA from 1 species
GGCCCUUUAGCUCAGUGGUUAGAGCAGACUCAUAAUCGCUUGGUCGCUGGUUCAAGUCCAGCAGGGGCCACCA